UAGCUUCCAAUCUAAGCAGCAAACAUGAAGGUAAUGAGAAGAUACAUGCCUUUUCAAAUACCGAUGAAGACAGAGACGGUGGUUCGCGGUGGAAGUUGAAACAACGUUAAAACAGGAACAGAUGUACCCAUAAGCAUGGCUUGUGCAUCAAUGGCAGUCAUCAUCAACAUGGCAGAGUUUGGCAGUGAACAAAGUCAACAUAGCAAGGCUGGCUUGAUCUGAUUUAAAUUUUAUUGUAAUUUAUUUUUGCCUUUAUUUUAGUUUGUAAUUUGAUUUGGUUUUAAAACUCUAAUUAGAUUUGAAAUUGUAAAUUUAAUAUAUAAUGAAAUUAUUUAUUGUAAUUA